AUUGAACGCUGGCGGCAUGCUUUACACAUGCAAGUCGAACGGUAACAGGCCUUCGGGCGCUGACGAGUGGCGAACGGGUGAGUAAUGCAUCGGAACGUGCCCAGUCGGGGGGGAUAACUAUCCGAAAGGAUAGCUAAUACAGCAUACGAUCUGCGGAUGAAAGCGGGGGACCGUCGGGCCUCGCGCGAUUGGAGCGGCCGAUGUCAGAUUAGGUAGUUGGUGGGGUAAAGGCUCACCAAGCCAACGAUUUGUAGCUGGUCUGAGAGGACGACCAGCCACACUGGGACUGAGACACGGCGCAGACUCCUACGGGAGGCAGCAGUGGGGAAUUUUGGACAAUGGGCGCAAGCCUGAUCCAGCAAUGCCGCGUGCAGGAAGAAGGCCUUCGGGUUGUAAACUGCUUUUGUACGGAACGAAACGGCUCUGGUUAAUACCCGGGGCUAAUGACGGUACCGUAAGAAUAAGCACCGGCUAACUACGUGCCAGCCGCCGCAGUAAUAC
rnacentral:rRNA from 1 species